GAGUCUUGAGUGACAUGAUUGACAUCCCAUACUCCUUGUCACAGAGUUCUCGCAAAAAACAAACCAAACCUGUAAAUGCUGCUUACUCCCAUUGCUCUGCUCUCUCUCAUGGGCCAUGGCUACCCUUUCUCCCUUUCACUUCCUAACCUUCCUCUCGCUCCCUUCUCGUAAACUCUUCUUGCUUCCACAACAACAUCUUCAGCACAACAAGCUACACUGCGAAACCCAGGAACACCCACCUCCGAAACAAUUUACAACCUGUGCUUUGUCAAAUAAAAAACCCAGUAGUAGAACUAGAAAGGUAAAGAGCAAUGAAGAACUGUGCAAUGACAUACAGCAAUUUCUCACUGAGUUCGGGUUUCCAGAGGAUCACGUGCCUUCCACCAAGGAGCUUUCGCUGCAUGGAAGGAAUGACCUUGCAAACAUUGUUAGACGGAGAGGAUAUAAACUGAUUAGAGAGCUUCUUGCUAACUCAACAACAUCAAACAACGAUGGGCUUGAUCCAAAGAAAAGCUUUGAUGAAAACCAGGGUGCAAUCAGUGAUCACGAACAUAUAUUAGCAGGUCAGGACAAGAAGGCGAAUACUUUGGUUGUUGAACACAUCUCAUCAACUGAUGUCUCCACUGUAGGGAACGAUUACAUUAGUCCAAGUAGUGAUUUGGAUUUCAACUUUGGUGACUUUAGGAGCCUACCUGUAGAAUCUUCAUCCAAUUUGUUUUUGGAAGAAAAGGUAUCGCAUAGAAUAAAGGGUCAUGAUGAGAAAGUAAAAGACGUGGCUGAAAAUGCUUUCUUGUCAACUGAAGUUUCCACCAUGGAAAGUUCAAGCAUCAAUUUUGAUCUCAACACUGAUGAAAACAGCUGCAUGCCUGUAGAACUUUCAGUCCUGGAGGAGAAGACUUCAUCUAAUUUGCAAGUUGAGGACAAGAAGGUGAAUAAUAUGGUUGAAGAUGUGGCCUUUUCAAAUGAAGGAAAGAAACAUUAUUCCUGGAGUUCAAAUCCAGAUUUCAAUCCCACUGACUUUAAAAGUAUGCCUAUAGAAUCUCCAAUCAGUUUGUCCUUGGAGGAAAGGCCCUCAUGUAAUUUGAAAGAUCAGGAUGAGAAGAUCAAGAAUAAUAAUGUACCUCUCUACUCUAGUGAAGAUUCUUGCGUGCCUAUAGAAUUUUCAGAGAACUCAUCCCUUGAGGAAAAGGUGACAAAGUUUAUUCAGAAUGGGGAUUUGGAUAUGAUUGAGGAUAAUGCCUAUGGUAUAUUAAAUGAACGUGUUGCUGAAGAAAGCAAGGAAUUUAUCCAGGCGCAGAAUUCGGUAGUGCAGCCUGCUGAAGAGCACUCUGGAAAUUCACUUAAUGGAGGGAGUGUUGGCAGUACACUGGCAUCCAAGGAUGUCACUCCUGCUGCACUAGUCACUCAACCACUUAGGGACGAUCACGUGUCACCUGGACUAUUAAUGACUGCUAAGCUGGACAAAGAUUUGGACACAGGGAGUAGCAUAAGGGAGAGGCAAGCUGAUAUUAAUCAUCUCAAGUUCAUGCUGCAUCAGAAGGAGUUGGAACUGUCACUGUUAAAAGAACAGAUCGGGAAAGAAAAGCUUGCUUUGUCUGACUUGCAAACCAAGGCUGAAGCAGAAAUCAGCAAAGCCCAAAAGCUUAUCUCAGAAAAAGAUGCAGAAUUACAAGCUGCUGAAGGAAGUCUUUCAGGACUAGAAGAGGUUUCGAUUCAAUACUUUGGGGAGGGAGAAAUUGUGGAGGUGUCAGGUAGCUUCAACGGUUGGCAUCAGCGGAUUAAAAUGGAUCCACAGCCAUCAUCAAGUAUCACAGACCCCAAUGCCUCAAGGAAUUCUAGACUUUGGUCAACCGUGCUGUGGCUUUAUCCUGGAACAUAUGAGAUAAAAUUCAUUGUAGAUGGCCGCUGGAGGACUGAUCCUCGGAGAGAGUCAGUUACCACGGGUACCAUAUGUAACAAUAUUCUUCGAGUUGACAAAUGAUACAGUUUUGGCUGGCGGACAUUUUUGCAAUCCAUAAGUGUACAGAAAACAAUGAUAGAUUGCUCGGAGUUCUGUACUAUCCAAGAAAAGAUCAAAGCUUAAAGCCGCGUAGGUAAAAGAAAUGGAAUCAGGCCUUCAAGACCAUGCAGAUUUUGGAUUGAUGUUGCUAUCUUGUACCAUGAAUAUUAAGGUCCUUUAGCCUGUUAUGUGCAACGUUUAGUAUUAAACUCUUUUACCAAGUUCAAGUGAUAGCCCAGCAGUAAUGACAUUUUUCGCA